AUCCAGGGAGACAGAAAAGUUGAAAAAUAGUGAGGAAUCACAUCAGAGUGACACAAGGACAAUGGAUUACAGGAUCUGAGAGGAAAUAUUUACUCUAACAUGGAUUAUAACCGUGACACAGCAAAGGCUCCUGACUGGUGAUAUCUGGUUGCCUGAACUUCCUUUGUCUGGGCUGUGGCACCGUUCCACCUGAUACAACAUGCUCCACUGGCAGACACAUCAAAACCCAAAUGCUCUCUUGAGAAUGAACAAGAAUCAGUUUGAAGUUGAAGAUCAACGUCUAAAAACAUUACACUGUUUUAAGAGGAGUCACAGUGUUCCAGGGGAGAGAUUUCCAGGAAUGAUGGCCUCGUUGAGAUUGAUCUCCUCUACAUGAGAGGAGAUGAAAGAAGCUAACAGAGCUCACAUAUCUUCACUUGAUCUCUGUCUCUAAAUCAAUUUGAAGCUAUGUGUUUAUUCCUGUGUCUUGAGGAUGUUGAUGGAACGGUACACUCCAGCCUGAGCUCAGACAGAGUAGCUGUCACUGAAAGCACUAUAUGUGAAAUAUUGUAAAUUCUUUGAUAAAAUCUAUUUUUUUGUUCUAAUAACAAUUGGUGAUUUGUUUU